rnacentral:rRNA from 1 species
GACGAACCGUGCGACCGUUGUUCGGAAUCACUGGGCUUAAAGGGCGCGUAGGCGGGCAAGCAAGUCCGGGGUGAAAGCCCCCAGCUUAACUGGGGAAGUGCCUUGGAAACUGCUUGUCUCGAGGGAGGUAGGGGCCUGUGGAACUUCGGGUGGAGCGGUGAAAUGCGUUGAUAUCCGAAGGAACGCCGGUGGCGAAAGCGACGGGCUGGACCUCUUCUGACGCUGAGGCGCGAAAGCCAGGGGAGCAAACGGG